AAUUCUCGAGGCCAGCGGUUCUCAACUGGGCUGCAUGCAGAUAGAAUCAUCCAGAAACUUUUAUCAUCACACCAGUGCCUUAUGCCCAAAGAUGAUUGGUCUGGAGAACCCUGUUGAAGGAACACAAAACAGAGGAAGUCAGCUGAGCAGCGGAGGACGACGGGUUCCUGUGGGCAUCGCUUCAGUGUGUGAAGUCUUACCCGACAGUCCGGGUCUUCAGAAUAGAAGUUCUUCUGCAGCAGCUUAAAGCAUUCUGUGCUCGUUUGGCAUCGUCAGCUGCUAGUCUGGACCUUGCAUCUCUCUGCCCAGGAGACUGUCCACUCCGACAGGCUGGGGGUCACGCUUGCUUAGCUCACGCCUCGUCUCCAGCACCUGGCCGACUGCAGGGGCCUGCG